rnacentral:rRNA from 1 species
UACAGAGGGGGCAAGCGUUGUUCGGAAUUACUGGGCGUAAAGGGCGCGUAGGCGGCCCGCUAAGUCGAACGUGAAAUCCCCGAGCUCAACUCGGGAACUGCGUCCGAUACUGGCGGGCUUGAAUCCGGGAGAGGGAUGCGGAAUUCCAGGUGUAGCGGUGAAAUGCGUAGAUAUCUGGAGGAACACCGGUGGCGAAGGCGGCAUCCUGGACCAAUUCUGACGCUGAGUGAGCGAAAGCCAGGGGAGCAAACGGG